rnacentral:rRNA from 1 species
CCGGCGACCGGCGCACGGUGAGUAACACGUAUGCAACCUGCCCUCUUCAGGGGACAACCUUCCGAAAGGGAGGCUAAUCCCGCGUAUAUCGGUUUCGGGCAUCCGAGAUCGAGGAAAGAUUCAUCGGAAGAGGAUGGGCAUGCGGCGCAUUAGCUAGACGGCGGGGUAACGCCCACCGUGGCGACGAUGCGUAGGGGUUCUGAGAGGAAGGUCCCCCACACUGGUACUGAGACACGGACCAGACUCCUACGGAAGGCAGCAG